GCAGCCUGAUCCAGCCAUACCGCGUGGGUGAAGAAGGCCUUCGGGUUGUAAAGCCCUUUUGUUGGGAAAGAAAUCCAGCCGGCUAAUACCUGGUUGGGAUGACGGUACCCAAAGAAUAAGCACCGGCUAACUUCGUGCCAGCAGCCGCGGUAAUACGAAGGGUGCAAGCGUUACUCGGAAUUACUGGGCGUAAAGCGUGCGUAGGUGGUUGUUUAAGUCUGUUGUGAAAGCCCUGGGCUCAACCUGGGAACUGCAGUGGAAACUGGACAACUAGAGUGUGGUAGAGGGUAGCGGAAUUCCCGGUGUAGCAGUGAAAUGCGUAGAGAUCGGGAGGAACAUCCAUGGCGAAGGCAGCUACCUGGACCAACACUGACACUGAGGCACGAAAGCGUGGGGAGCAAACAGGAUUAGAUACCCUGGUAGUCCACGCCCUAAACGAUGCGAACUGGAUGUUGGGUGCAAUUUGGCACGCAGUAUCGAAGCUAACGCGUUAAGUUCGCCGCCUGGGGAGUACGGUCGCAAGACUGAAACUCAAAGGAAUUGACGGGGGCCCGCACAAGCGGUGGAGUAUGUGGUUUAAUUCGAUGCAACGCGAAGAACCUUACCUGGCCUUGACAUGUCGAGAACUUUCCAGAGA
rnacentral:rRNA from 1 species